rnacentral:rRNA from 1 species
GAUGAACGCUAGCGGCAGGCUUAAUACAUGCAAGUCGUGGGGCAGCGCAGGUAGCAAUACUGGGCGGCGACCGGCAAACGGGUGCGGAACACGUACACAACCUUCCGAGAAGUGGGGAAUAGCCCAGAGAAAUUUGGAUUAAUACCCCGUAACAUAACGAUGUGGCAUCACAUUGUUAUUAUAGCUUCGGCGCUUCUUGAUGGGUGUGCGGCUGAUUAGAUAGUUGGCGGGGUAACGGGCCCACCAAGUCUACGAUCAGUAGCUGAUGUGAGAGCAUGAUCAGCCACACGGGCACUGAGACACGGCCCGACUCCUACGGGAGGCAGCAGUAAGGAAUAUUGGUCAAUGGACGGCAAGUACUUGAACCAAGCCAUGCCGCGUGAAGGAGUUAA